AGGACGACGGUGUGGAGCCCGACUCGAUCGCGUUCAUCACCGUGAUCAAUGCUUGCUCCAGCGCCGCGACCGCGCGGUGGAUCCACGGGUGUAUCAUCCGGGGUGGCUGCGACUCCGACACUGCUGUGAGCAACGCGAUCAUCAGAGCCUACGCGAGGUGUGGGAGCUUGAAAGAAGCGUACCGGACGUUCGUGGAGAUAAAGGAGAGGCGGGAUCACGUCUCGUGGACGACAAUGAUCUCGGCGUUUGCGGAGUUUGGGCGGAUCAAGCGAUGCGUCCAGCUCUUCCGGGAGAUGCUGCUA
rnacentral:lncRNA from 1 species